rnacentral:rRNA from 1 species
UGGCUCAGGACGAACGCUGGCGGCGUGCCUAACACAUGCAAGUCGAGCGAGGAGAUCCUUCGGGAUGAUCCUAGCGGCGGACGGGUGAGUAACACGUGGGCAACCUGCCUCAUAGAGAGGAAUAGCCUUCCGAAAGGGAGAUUAAUACCUCAUAACAUUGCAGUUUCGCAUGGAACAGCAAUUAAAGGAGUAAUCCGCUAUGAGAUGGGCCCGCGGCGCAUUAGCUAGUUGGUGAGGUAAUGGCUCACCAAGGCGACGAUGCGUAGCCGACCUGAGAGGGUGAUCGGCCACAUUGGGACUGAGACACGGCCCAGACUCCUACGGGAGGCAGCAGUGGGGAAUAUUGCACAAUGGGGGAAACCCUGAUGCCAGCAACGCCGCGUGAGUGAUGACGGCCUUCGGGUUGUAAAGCUCUGUCUUCAGGGACGAUAAUGACGGUACCUGAGGAGGAAGCCACGGCUAACUACGUGCCAGCCGCCGC